CGCCCAGGUAACAUCACUAGCGACCGGUGACCUUUUUUUCCUUCUUGCCUGGCUCCUGUGGUGGCAGGCUGGCCACGAGGACCAUGCUGGGCCGGACCCUCCGAGAACCUGACUUUGAAACCAAAAGUUAGCUAAGGAGAAGAAUGUCAUGUCCUCCACCUGUCCUCAAGCUGAUCAGUGCAUCACCCUUCAUCCACUACACUAAGUGUAGAGGUUUCUGCGGCACUGAAACAAGGCCAAAUUACACCAACAGAGCUCUGUCAAAAAUGUCUUUCUCUUAUCAAGAAGACCAAGUUUCUAAAUGCCUACAUUACUGUGUCAGAAGAGGUGGCCUUAAAACAAGCUGAAGAAUCAGAAAAGAGAUAUAAGAAUGGACAGUCACUUGGGGAUUUAGAUGGAAUUCCUAUUGCAGU
rnacentral:sRNA from 1 species